rnacentral:rRNA from 1 species
AUUGAACGCUGGCGGCAUGCUUUACACAUGCAAGUCGAACGGUAACAGGUUAAGCUGACGAGUGGCGAACGGGUGAGUAAUGCAUCGGAACGUGCCCGAUCGUGGGGGAUAACGCAGCGAAAGCUGCGCUAAUACCGCAUACGAUCUGAGGAUGAAAGCGGGGGACCGUAAGGCCUCGCGCGAUCGGAGCGGCCGAUGUCAGAUUAGGUAGUUGGUGGGGUAAAGGCUCACCAAGCCGACGAUCUGUAGCUGGUCUGAGAGGACGACCAGCCACACUGGGACUGAGACACGGCCCAGACUCCUCCGGGGGGCAGCAGUGGGGAAUUUUGGACAAUGGGCGCAAGCCUGAUCCAGCAAUGCCGCGUGCAGGAAGAAGGCCUUCGGGUUGUAAACUGCUUUUGUACGGAGCGAAAAGGCUCUCUCUAAUACAGGGGGCUCAUGACGGUACCGUAAGAAUAAGCACCGGCUAACUACGUGCCAGCCGCCGCCGUAA